UACGUAGGCAGCGAGCGUUGUUCGGAGUUACUGGGCGUAAAGGGUGUGUAGGCGGCUCCCUAAGUUUGGUGUGAAAUCUCCCGGCUCAACCGGGAGGGUGCGCCGAAAACUGGGGGGCUAGAGUGCGGGAUGGGAAAGUGGAAUUCCUGGUGUAGCGGUGGAAUGCGUAGAGAUCCGGAAGAACACCGGUCGCGAAGGCGGCCUGCUGGGCAGUAGCUGACGCUGAUGCGCGAAAGCGUGGGGAGCAAACAGG
rnacentral:rRNA from 1 species